CUCUUGUAUGAAAGGACAGAAGGUUAGCACUCCCCUUGAUAAGGAUGGAAGAGGUCCUAGUGACCUUUACAACACAUAUAUGGUUAAGGCAUUGCCACUUACUUCAUGGCAUCUAACCAAGUUUUUUU
ensembl:snRNA